rfam:Gossypium raimondii Chr01_contig_406, whole genome shotgun sequence.
UGUUAAAAUUUUCAUCCAUUUCUAUUGUUAAUAACUGGUAUGACUGACAGAAUAACCAAAUAGUGACAUGUGUUGUGCCACUUAUACUUCAUGUUGACGUACAGAUGCUAGUUUUUAUCAAUGGAAAUAGAUGAAAUUUUUAACA